GACGAACGCUGGCGGCGUGCUUAACACAUGCAAGUCGAACGCUGAAGCACCAGCUUGCUGGUGUGGAUGAGUGGCGAACGGGUGAGUAAUACGUGAGUAACCUGCCCUUGACUCUGGGAUAAGCCCGGGAAACUGGGUCUAAUACGGGAUGCUACAUGUCACCGCAUGGUGGUGUGUGGAAAGGUUUUACUGGUCUUGGAUGGGCUCACGGCCUAUCAGCUUGUUGGUGAGGUAAUGGCUCACCAAGUCGACGACGGGUAGCCGGCCUGAGAGGGUGACCGGCCACACUGGGACUGAGACACGGCCCAGACUCCUACGGGAGGCAGCAGUGGGGAAUAUUGCACAAUGGGCGAAAGCCUGAUGCAGCGACGCCGCGUGAGGGAUGACGGCCUUCGGGUUGUAAACCUCUUUCAGCAGGGAAGAAGCCACAAGUGACGGUACCUGCAGAAGAAGCGCCGGCUAACUACGUG
rnacentral:rRNA from 1 species